rnacentral:miRNA from 1 species
UUGGAAUAAUACGUGUAUU